rnacentral:rRNA from 1 species
UACGUAGGGGGCUAGCGUUGUCCGGAAUCAUUGGGCGUAAAGCGCGCGUAGGCGGCCCGGUAAGUCCGCUGUGAAAGUCAAAGGCUCAACCUUUGAAUGUCAGCGGAUACUGCCGGGCUAGAGUCCGGAAGAGGCGAGUGGAACUCCCUGGUGUAGCGGUGGAAUGCGCAGAUAUCAGGAGGAACACCGAUGGCGAAGGCAGAUCUCUGGGCCUUACUGACGCUGAGGAGCGAAAAGCGUGGGGGAGCGAA